rnacentral:lncRNA from 1 species
AACAUUCAAGUGGUGAUAUCAAGAAGUCAACUAAAUGUAAGAACUGGGAAUCUGAAGAGAGUUUAUAUAAAUAAGAGAUUCUUCAGCGUUUACAAAAUAAGCCUUGAAGAGAGAAAAUAUUCAACUCUGGAAAAUGUGAUGAAAAAUGUACUUGUCCAUUCAAAAUCUGGUUGCUGUGUUGAAAACUGGCUGAAAAGAGGGACAACUGGAUGCAAUUUCCUCAGAAAGAACAAGGAAAUGGGAACCUGAGUUCAGGUAGUUGGAUUAUUCUUGGAGACUAGGAACAGCUCAUGUACUUGAUAAAAUAAUGUCUCGAUAUGGAAGGAUUUAGUUUUUUCUCU